rnacentral:rRNA from 1 species
AAUACGUAGGGUCCGAGCGUUGUCCGGAAUUAUUGGGCGUAAAGAGCUCGUAGGCGGCGUGUCGCGUCUGCUGUGAAAGACCGGGGCUUAACUCCGGUUCUGCAGUGGAUACGGGCAUGCUAGAGGUAGGUAGGGGAGACUGGAAUUCCUGGUGUAGCGGUGAAAUGCGCAGAUAUCAGGAGGAACACCGGUGGCGAAGGCGGGUCUCUGGGCCUUACCUGACGCUGAGGAGCGAAAGCAUGGGGAGCGAACAG